rnacentral:rRNA from 1 species
GACGAACGCUGGCGGCGUGCUUAACACAUGCAAGUCGAACGGAAAGGCCCUGCUUUUGUGGGGUGCUCGAGUGGCGAACGGGUGAGUAACACGUGUGUAACCUGCCCUUGACUUUGGGAUAACUUCAGGAAACUGGGGCUAAUACCGGAUAGGAGCUCCUGCUGCAUGGUGGGGGUUGGAAAGUUUCGGCGGUUGGGGAUGGACUCUCGGCUUAUCAGCUUGUUGGUGGGGUAGUGGCUUACCAAGGCUUUGACGGGUAGCCGGCCUGAGAGGGUGACCGGCCACAUUGGGACUGAGAUACGGCCCAGACUCCUACGGGAGGCAGCAGUGGGGAAUAUUGCACAAUGGGCGGAAGCCUGAUGCAGCAACGCCGCGUGCGGGAUGACGGCCUUCGGGUUGUAAACCGCUUUCGCCUGUGACGAAGCGUGAGUGACGGUAAUGGGUAAAGAAGCACCGGCUAACUACGUG